GGGCCAGUAGCUCAAUUGGCAGAGCAGCGGACUCUUAAUCCGGAGGUUGAAGGUUCGAUUCCUUCCUGGCUCA
rnacentral:tRNA from 1 species